ensembl:snoRNA SNORD15 Small nucleolar RNA SNORD15
CUUCAGUGAUGAUCGAUGACGAGUCAGAACAGGACUCAGUCUAGCUCUGCUGGUUCCUGGUUCAGACCCACGUUCUGUGGUUCGGCUCCAUUUCCUCAGAGCAAGCGAGUCCAUUUCAGUUGAAGACAUAGAGGCAUUUGUCUGAGAAGG